rnacentral:ribozyme from 1 species
AAAAUAGAUAUAGCGAAAGGAAGAUGAGUGUAGUAAGAUGAAAAAAAAAAAAGAUCCAUGCCAAGAGAAGCAUUCGGGUGGGUCAUGGAAAUGCAUUCGUUCCGAGGUUUUUUUUUUUAAAGUUGUACCAUUUUCUCCCCCCGAAAAUGGUUG